UACGAAGGGUGCAAGCGUUACUCGGAAUUACUGGGCGUAAAGAGCUUGUAGGCGGUUUGUCGCGUCUGCCGUGAAAAUCCGGGGCUCAACCCCGGACUUGCGGUGGGUACGGGCAGACUAGAGUGUGGUAGGGGAGACUGGAAUUCCUGGUGUAGCGGUGAAAUGCGCAGAUAUCAGGAGGAACACCGAUGGCGAAGGCAGGUCUCUGGGCCACUACUGACGCUGAGAAGCGAAAGCGUGGGGAGCGAACAGG
rnacentral:rRNA from 1 species